rnacentral:rRNA from 1 species
GAUGAACGCUGGCGGCGUGCUUAACACAUGCAAGUCGAACGAUGAAGCCCAGCUUGCUGGGUGGAUUAGUGGCGAACGGGUGAGUAACACGUGAGUAACCUGCCCUUAACUCUGGGAUAAGCCUGGGAAACUGGGUCUAAUACCGGAUAGGAGCGUCCACCGCAUGGUGGGUGUUGGAAAGAUUUAUCGGUUUUGGAUGGACUCGCGGCCUAUCAGCUUGUUGGUGAGGUAAUGGCUCACCAAGGCGACGACGGGUAGCCGGCCUGAGAGGGUGACCGGCCACACUGGGACUGAGACACGGCCCAGACUCCUACGGGAGGCAGCAGUGGGGAAUGUUGCACAAUGGGCGCAAGCCUGAUGCAGCGACGCCGCGUGAGGGAUGACGGCCUUCGGGUUGUAAACCUCUUUCAGUAGGGAAGAAGCGAAAGUGACGGUACCUGCAGAAGAAGCACCGGCUAACUACGUG